rnacentral:lncRNA from 1 species
AGAUCCAUUACGUGAAGUGUAUUCAAGUGUACUAUUUCCUUCUAUAUACUGCAUGGUAAUCUUUUGAAUUCUUGUAGUGACUGUAUGAAGCCUACGUUGAUUAUGCCCUGCACUUAUAUAUGGGUGUUUAUAGGAGCGAAGUUUGAUUAGGCCUAGUUGUGCAUAUGUAAUUUGUUAACUUCUGAAAAAUAUUAUAGAUUCUGACAGGUCGGCUGCUUGGACUACUAGAGGAUUAUUUAGGUGAUUUUACUUUGUAAGAUGAAGCACAGUUCUUGCCAUUAGCUACUGCUGCAAUUCAGAAGCUUCAUUUUGAAACAGAUUGUGGCAGUUCUUGGCGCUAGUAAUUUGUGUUUCAGUUAACAUUAAAUUUUUUCAUAACUCUAGUAUAUUAUUUUGGUAAUUCGACUUUAUAAGAUGAAGCACAAUUCUUGCCGUUAGCUACUGCUGCAAUUCAGAAGCUUCAUUUUGAAACAGAUUGUGUUGGUGCUUGGCGCUAGUAACUUGUGUUUCAGUUUACAUCGAGUUUGGAAGAUUAUUUUGGUGAUUUGACUUUAUAAGAUGAAGCACAGUUGCCACUAGAAACUUCUGCAAUUCAGAAGCUUCAAUUGAAAACAAACUGAGGUGGUGCUCUGGUUGCGGUUUACAUUGAGUUUUUCCUUUACUGAUGGCUGAACAGUCUUCUUACGAUUGAGCUGCAUUUUCAUAUUAUCCUUUGUAUGACUAAAUGUGUGUACUUUACAUAGCAGUAUGUCAACAGCACUAUCACUGUGGCUUGGUAUUUAAUUUGUUUCAAUUGUUUGUAAUCCCCUCUCAUCUUUUUCUUCUCUGUUGAGUUUUCUUUCUUAACUUAAGUUCAGUAAGAUGUACUAUUCAAUAGGUC